UACGGGGGGGGGGCAAGCGUUGUUCGGAAUUACUGGGCGUAAAGGGCUCGUAGGCGGCCAACUAAGUCGGAUGUGAAAUCCCCAGGCUCAACUUGGGAACUGCGUCUGAUACUGGAUGGCUUGAAUUCGGGAGAGGGAUGCAGAAUUCCAGGUGUAGCGGUGAAAUGCGUAGAUAUCUGGAGGAAUACCGGUGGCGAAGGCGGCAUCCUGGACCGGCAUUGACGCUGAUGAGCGAAAGCUAGGGGAGCAAACGGG
rnacentral:rRNA from 1 species